rnacentral:rRNA from 1 species
CCUACGGGGGGCAGCAGUGAGGAAUAUUGGUCAAUGGACGAGAGUCUGAACCAGCCAAGUAGCGUGAAGGAUGACUGCCCUAUGGGUUGUAAACUUCUUUUAUAAAGGAAUAAAACGAGGCACGUGUGCCCUUUUGCAUGUACUUUAUGAAUAAGGAUCGGCUAACUCCGUGCCAGCAGCCGAGGUAAUACGGAGGAUCCGAGCGUUAUCCGGAUUUAUUGGGUUUAAAGGGAGCGUAGAUGGGUUGUUAAGUCAGUUGUGAAAGUUUGCGGCUCAACCGUAAAAUUGCAAUUGAAACUGGCAGUCUUGAGUACAGUUGAGGUAGGCGGAAUUCGUGGUGUAGCGGUGAAAUGCUUAGAUAUCACGAAGAACCCCGAUUGCGAAGGCAGCUUACUAAACUGUGACUGACAUUGAUGCUCGAAAGUGUGGGUAUCAAACAGGAUUAGAUACCCCGGUAGUC